rfam:Rattus norvegicus chromosome 16, whole genome shotgun sequence.
GGGGAUUUAGCUCAGUGGUAGAGUGCUUGCCUAGGAAGCGUGAGGCCCUGGGUUCGGUCCCCAGCUCUG